UAAGAAUUAAUAAUGGAUAAUAAACUUUGUUUAAAUGAAAUGGUGAGAUUGGAAGACAUGAGCAUGUCCUCACUUCACCAGUGGACCAAAAGCCUUUGAAGAGCAGCAUGCUGAUCCUCCUCUGCUCCCUCAGCAGACGGACAAGAGUUGUGCAGCGAUCCGUGAACAGGUGUUCGCAGAGUUUCUUUCCAGCAUAAUUGCACAAUAUUCUGCACCCCAGCACUCAGUCCUGAAACGGCCGGGAAACGGUGCGAUCGGGCCUUCCAAGGGUUCCUGUUUGAGGACCCGAAGCUGUCUGAAGAACACACCUCCGCUGAACUC